GGAUUAGAUACCCUGGUAGUCCACGCCGUAAACGUUGGGAACUAGAUGUAGGGACCAUUCCACGGUUUCUGUGUCGCAGCUAACGCAUUAAGUUCCCCGCCUGGGGAGUACGGCCGCAAGGCUAAAACUCAAAGGAAUUGACGGGGGCCCGCACAAGCGGCGGAGCAUGCGGAUUAAUUCGAUGCAACGCGAAGAACCUUACCAAGGCUUGACAUAUACCGGAAAAGUGCAGAAAUGUACUCCCCGCAAGGUCGGUAUACAGGUGGUGCAUGGUUGUCGUCAGCUCGUGCCG
rnacentral:rRNA from 1 species